AUUUGAAGGUAUACAAUAUACAGAAACAGAACAAUCAUCUUGAACAAAAAUGGUUUCAUGUCUUGAUUUUCUUAUUUCACUGAUCUUUGGCACCAUGGUAAAGCGUUUCGUUUCAAGAACCGAUAAGCAUAACUCUGAGCUUGAACCAGCCAAGUCUCCAUCAAUUAUAAUUGUAGAACGAGACCGUCCACGGCGCCACAAUUAUUAAUAAGGAAUAUAUGCAGCAUAUGCUCACUCCUCCCAUGCAUGGGUUGAAAAUAAGUUAAUAUAUGUUUCUAUGAUCGUCGUAUCAUUGUUUUACUUUUUGUAAUUUUGCCCGUUUGAAAGUUUUAUUGUAUAUAUAAAUAUAAAUAUAAAUAUAAGUAGUUGUUAUAGCAACUAAUUAUCCAUUAGGGAUGCUCUUGUUUAAUCUCUUCAGCAAUAGGUUUGCUGUUUAGAGUCCUUGUAAAUGAUUUCUGUUAAGUUAGUUAUUGGUUAAGUUAGUUAAAA